rnacentral:lncRNA from 1 species
GGCGGAGGGAAGCUUGUCAGUGGGACUAUGAGCUGAAUGUGUCACAUCACUCUGUACAUGUCCCUUGGGAAAGUCUGAGACUAGGGCCAACGGCAGCCCUAACAGGGCUUUCCUUGAGCCUCAGGGGGGUGAGUUCUCAGAGAGGAGUCCAGGAAACUGAAUCUACUCCAAGACUUAGACAGUCCUCUGCC